rnacentral:lncRNA from 1 species
AUAUAUUGAUUAAAUCAGAUGAAAUAAUUCAGAGAGACACGAGAAGAUGUAAAAUUCAAUCAAUUGUGCCGAAAUGAGCAUUAUUGAUAAAUUUACCCCAAUCAGUAACCGACAGGCAAUGACUUUUUCUUUUCUUGAAUGCAUGAUUUCUAAUACCUUAGCCUUAUCUAAGUCUAGUUUCGAAUCUAGUCUCGGCAUCAAUUCGUGGAAGCCUUCAAGCUCAAUCCCUUCCUUCUAGCCUGCCCCGCUCUUUGAGAUUAUGAACACUUGAUCUGAUCUGUCAAGAACGAGCUGACGACUACACGAGAAGCAAUUGCCUGCAGUCAAUGACGAAGUUAGGAAUUUUUCAAAGGUUUUCAAAUUUGAGAGAAGUGAAAAAAAAUUUCCGACAAAUGAUGUUCAAUAUAUGUUAUAUACCUCUAAAACGUAAUAUUUUAUCUAUAUACACAAUAUAAUUUUUUGACAAAGAAUAAUCAACUGAAUACACUUUUAACCAUGUGUCUUUUCCAUUGAUGCAGUCCCUGAGCCCGCAAGCCAAGAAAAAAUUUGACUUGAAUCUACCUUUGC